AGUUCUGUGGUGUAUAACACGCCGGAUUGCAAAUCCGGAGAUGCCGGCUAAUAGCCGACCGGGGCUU
rnacentral:tRNA from 2 species